AAGCAUCCGGCAGGACCAGGACCCUCGACCAUGCUCCUGGUGGACGACGAAGGUGAGUUGAUAGAGCACCCGUAGGCGACCCGUAUUCAGCGCCGGGGCCGCUCGCCACUGCCGCCACCGCCUGCAGUUCCACGGCAGCGAUAUCGAUGCCCGGGGCCGGAAGGAAGACUGUCCCUCUCACCUUCCCCAGAUUAGCGUCACGGCCACCACCACCUCCAAUCCGGUCAUCGCCGCCUCCCAGGAAGCUGCUCCCCACCAUCUCGCGCCCCGGUCCCCCUCCGCCUCCCGGCCCACCGCGUCGCGACAGGGAGGAGGAUAUGGACAUCGCCGCCGCCGUCGCCUACAGGCAGCAAGCAUGCAACGGCGCCGGCGAGGUGAGGUGCGGAGUGACCGCGGCAGCGGCACCACGCUAACGGAGGCUCAACGCGGAUGGCUAGACGCGGGGCGUCGCCGAGCUCUGAUUUGCCUCGGAGCACGCACCCACCUCCCCUUCUCCCCACAUUCAUAGUGAUGGCGGUGGUGCCGGAGGCUAACCUAUCGCCUCUGCCGCGGCGCUGGGGGGUCACAGUUGCUCAAGGAGAGCUCAGAGCACCCGCUGUUGACUGGCAUGCUCGGAAUGUUCGAUGCCGCUGCGAGCGAGCGGAACGGUGGCGUGUUCCUCCCGUUCGCCAAGGCCACCGUGGAAGAAGCCGCGCUGCUAGAGCUCGCCCUCACGCCCACUAAGGAAGACAAGGCCGAGGCUGAUGGGAAUCUGUAUUUUCAUGCCGGCGAAACCAACGGUGUCCCGGCCGCGCAGAGAAACGUCAGAACGGGGGUGAAGCCGGCGUAGAACGCGCCGGACAGGUAGGCACCAACGCCCAGGAGCUGCUUGACGAAAUGCUUGUAAGGUAAUCUUGGCUGUGCAUUGCCAUUCUCUGGAGCAGCCAUUGGUUCAAGUACCCGAAAGCUUCUCAAUCCUUGCCCAGCUGCGAUGUCCUGAUUCACUACUUAAUCCUCACGGAUAUAUGCAUGAGAGUGCAUGCACCAUGGAUUGAUAGAUUCAUAGAUUGGUUUCAAUGCCUCGAUUCUGUUCUUUUGUCAUUACUAAAGGCCCCCUAGCAGCAUCAGUUUUACCCCUUCUGUUGCCUUGCCUUUGUGUGGUGUGACCUCCUCGGCUCAGAAUCCUUCUACCCUUUCUGCUACUCAUCCUCUCCAAUUUAGUACCAUUAGAAUAUGCAGUGGGAAUGGGAUCAUCAUAUGAGAUAAAAUGUCAUGUAAGAGCUGUUUAUUUUUUACUUGGAUCAAAGUAGGCAGCGUAAGUGAAAUUUCCUCUGGUUUCUGAAUCUUUGAUUUCAAAGGAGUAUGUCAGCACCAUGACGAAGCAUUAAAGCCUUCAGAUAACCUACUACAUACAUGAAGUAACAAUGUUCUUACUACACAGACAUGUAGCAAUUCUUAGUUUGAUAGUUUUAAUUUUUUCCCAAUGUUCAGCUUUCCCUUAGAGAUUAUGAAUUAAUUGUUCCAAUUGACAGUGACCAUUGACUAACCAUAUACUUUUGGUCUCACUAAGCUUGGUUAUUUCUGUUGUAGCUUGCUUAUCGCCUUUUUCGCCCCUCCAAUGUUUGUAGUAUGUCCUGCCUUAAUGCAAGUGCUAAAGUCUGAUUAAAGGAUGUUCUGCUGUGCCUUCAGAUUUGGAUUGGUACUUAUUUAUAGAGUGAUGAAUUCCCUUCUGACUUAUGGAUACAUUGCUUAUGAGCCCUACAUAGAAGUAGAACUGAUUUCUCUGGUAGAGGGGAGCUAUCAACAAGAUAAAUGCGGCUGGCUAAGUAUCUUAGGAGCCUUCAGAAGUUAGCAGAUGAGCUCGAUCAGCAAUUCAAGCGUAGCACCAACAGAUUGGUCUCAUGCCUAUUUGGCACAGCCAUUUCGUGGAUAUAUUUUCUAACUUUCCCCUUCCACUACUGCUUCUAGGAGAAGAAAUCUCAUUCGCUUCUAAAAUGAUUCGAUCAGAGGGUCUGCAAGAACCAACGCUAUAGUUGCAGGUAAGUAAGAUAAACCUCCUAUUCGGCUAUUCCAUAGUUGUAGGUUGUCUCUUUGUCUGUACCAAGCCUGCGAGGAUCUUUUAGUUUAAGGGCCCAAAACUCCUUUAUACUGCAAUUGCUAAUGCCCUAUGCAUUAUAUUGUGGUCAAAUGGUUUACACGUCUUGGAAUACUGGCAAGAAAAUUUUCGAUUCAAAUGAUGCCACAAAAUUUCUACAGAGCAAAGUAUACUUCUUACCAUUCAGAUCAAGGAGCAAUGUGGUUCCACUAUUUGUUGCAACAAAACAGAAGCCGAAUCAUGUCACAUCCUAGAAUAUUAACAUAAUUAACUCUACCAAAGGUAAGCACCAAACUUAUUCUGGUUCAUAUUUCAUAAAUGUCAGCUGAACCGAUAACUUACACUGCAAAACUGAAAUCUUCUGUAGGAGUUCUUAUGCAGCACUUGCUCUGUGAAAGCAACAAGAGGCUCCAAAAAAAUUCUGGCUUAAUUUGUCGAUGACCAAUAAAAUGUUUAAACAUAGUGACUUUGUUACUAUAUGCCACGUAGGGGGGAAAAACAAAUAGAUGCAACCUUCAAUACUAUUAUUAUAUGCAUAUAUGUAUCUUCAUUGUUAAUCUUCUUUUUUCAAGGAAAACAAAAAAUGCUGCAGACCGGUCUAUUAUAAAUAAAUACUCCUUGAACUUGAUUA